AAUAGAUACCCUGGUAGUCCACGCCGUAAACGGUGGGCACUAGGUGUGGGGACCAUUCCACGGUCUCUGCGCCGCAGCUAACGCAUUAAGUGCCCCGCCUGGGGAGUACGGCCGCAAGGCUAAAACUCAAAGGAAUUGACGGGGGCCCGCACAAGCGGCGGAGCAUGCGGCUUAAUUCGAAGCAACGCGAAGAACCUUACCUAGGCUUGACAUGCAGGGAAAUCUGGCAGAGAUGCCAGGUCCUUGGGUCUUGCACAGGUGGUGCAUGGCUGUCGUCAGCUCAUGUCGUGAGAUGUUGGGUUAAGUCCCGCAACGAGCGCAACCCUCGUUCUACGUUGCCAGCGGUUCGCCGGGGACUCAUAGAAGACUGCCGGGGUCAACUCGGAGGAAGGUGGGGAUGACGUCAAGUCAUCAUGCCCCUUAUGUCUAGGGCUGCACGCAUGGCUACAAUGGUCGGUACAAAGGGCUGCAAUACCGCAAGGUGGAGCGAAUCCCAAAAGCCGGCUCAGUUCGAUUGGGGU
rnacentral:rRNA from 1 species